rnacentral:rRNA from 1 species
AUUGAACGCUGCGGCAGGCUUAACACAUGCAAGUCGAGCGAGCGGCUGACGGGUGAGUAAUGCUUAGGUAUCUGCCUUUUAGCGGGGGACAACAUCUCGAAAGGGAUGCUAAUACCGCAUCCUAAUAGAUUAGCCUAAGUCGGAUUAGCUAGUUGGUGGGGUAAAGGCCUACCAAGGCGACGAUCUGUAGCGGGUUUGAGAGGAUGAUCCGCCAAACUGGGACUGAGACACGGCCCAGACUCCUACGGGAGGCAGCAGUGGGGAAUAUUGGACAAUGGGGGGAACCCUGAUCCAGCCAUGCCGCGUGUGUGAAGAAGGUCUUAUGGUUGUAAAGCUCUUUAAGCGAGGAGGCGGUACCCGCAGAAUAAGCACCGGCUAACUCUGUGCCAGCAGCCGCGGUAAUUC